AUUGAACGCUGGCGGCAGGCCUAACACAUGCAAGUCGAGCGGAUGAUGAAAGCUUGCUUUCUGAUUCAGCGGCGGACGGGUGAGUAAUGCCUAGGAAUCUGCCUGUUAGUGGGGGAUAACUCGGGGAAACUCGGGCUAAUACCGCAUACGUCCUACGGGAGAAAGUGGGGGAUCUUCGGACCUCACGCUAACAGAUGAGCCUAGGUCGGAUUAGCUAGUAGGUGAGGUAAUGGCUCACCUAGGCUACGAUCCGUAACUGGUCUGAGAGGAUGAUCAGUCACACUGGAACUGGGCCACGGUCCAGACUCCUACGGGAGGCAGCAGUGGGGAAUAUUGGACAAUGGGCGAAAGCCUGAUCCAGCCAUGCCGCGUGUGUGAAGAAGGUCUUCGGAUUGUAAAGCACUUUAAGUUGGGAGGAAGGGUUGUAGAUUAAUACUCUGCAAUUUUGACGUUACCGACAGAAUAAGCACCGGCUAACUCUGUGCCAGCCGCCGCUGUAACAC
rnacentral:rRNA from 1 species